GACGAACGCUGGCGGCGUGCUUAACACAUGCAAGUCGAACGGUAAGGCCCUUCGGGGUACACGAGUGGCGAACGGGUGAGUAACACGUGGGCGAUCUGCCCUGCACUUCGGGAUAAGCCUGGGAAACUGGGUCUAAUACCGGAUAGGACUCCGGACUGCAUGGUCUGGGGUGGAAAGCUUUUGCGGUGUGGGAUGGGCCCGCGGCCUAGCAGCUGGUUGGUGGGGUGAUGGCCUACCAAGGCGACGACGGGUAGCCGGCCUGAGAGGGUGACCGGCCACACUGGGACUGAGAUACGGCCCAGACUCCUACGGGAGGCAGCAGUGGGGAAUAUUGCACAAUGGGCGCAAGCCUGAUGCAGCGACGCCGCGUGAGGGAUGACGGCCUUCGGGUUGUAAACCUCUUUCAGCAUCGACGAAGCGAAAGUGACGGUAGGUGCAGAAGAAGGACCGGCCAACUACGUGCCAGCCGCCGCCGUAA
rnacentral:rRNA from 1 species